rnacentral:lncRNA from 1 species
UUUUCAGUUUCCUUCUGCUUCAGUGUCGCCAACCUUUCCAUAUCUCUUGAACUCUCCCUCUCAUCCAUACUUUUUUUAUUUAUUUAUUUUUCCCCUAUAAUAAUAAUAAUAAUAAUAAUAAGGCUCUGCCUCGUUUUAAGUGUUUUAACUCCCGAUCACCGCUACCCUUUCCGAUUGAUCUGAGUCCCAUAACGCAUGUCAAGGCUCUGCCCGACUAAGUUCGUUUGGAUUCUAUCUCGGGACUUCGGGACAAGGUUGAAUUAAGGGUACUAUACUUAACACAAGUGCAUUAUAUUUUUUUUAGCCCAAAAGUUAUACCCAAAAUUUAUAUCAGGAGGUUUUCUAGUUGAACCCUAAAGUUACACAGUGGGUCCAUUCCUUUUUCCCACCAUUUUAUUCCCUUUUUGUAAGUUAUCCAAAACUAUUAUUUAUUAUUUAUUUCUAUUUUGUAAACAAACUUUCAUCAAAAGUCAUGCCUAUUAUUUUAUUUACCUAAUAGGGAACCAUAGUUGAGACACCCAAGUAAUCCUGCACAACUCCUAAAAUUUUCGUAGCAAUCAGAAUCAGGAUCAGGGCCCCUAAAACUCAGGGGGGGGGGGGUAAACCCUAGUUGAUAAUUAUCAACUAAAUUCGUUGUACAGAUUCUAAAUUGAUUUUAAAAUGAGUCAGCAAAGCUAGUCCCGAAACCAGCUAGGCUAGGUAAAUAGACUACACCCUUUACGGACCGUAAGGGUAAGUCCUUACGGACCGUAAGCCUAUCGGUUUCCUUUACGGACCGUAAGGGUUAAGUCAUACGGUCCGUAAGGGAGUCCCAAAAUUCACUAUAAAUAGCAGACAUUGGCAGUAGCUUUCUGAAGUUGAAACGACAUAAAUUGGUGGCCUGUACGUCGAAUUAGAGCUAUAAUACUACACACACUGCACUCGAAUCGCUGCCGCAGAACAGGGUAAUUACUCGAUCGCUAUUACGAUUCAUUUUCCGAGAUCAAUAUAUCCAAAGAAUGUUUAAGUGCCGCCCAUAUUAGGGUGAUACUUUGUCGUUCGUCGUUAAUUCGAUGAAUGUUUAAGUAUCGCACUUUGUCGUUCGUUGUGAGAAUUUGAUCUCGUGAGUUAUCGUAAAAGCUGUAUUGAUCAUUAACCCGGUUCUUGUGAAAUUCAUUAAGGUUCGAAUCUCAUGACUACCGUUAAGGUUGAUUUGGGUUUUACACCAAUACGUAUUCCAUUCUGUUAAACCACCAAAAAUACUCCCAACUACACCCUUACAAUCAAACAAACUAUUAAAUCAUCAGAAGAUCCAGAAUAAUAAAGUGCAUGCUUAAUUAUCGGAAGAAAUAAAAUCAAGAAGUUGUUAACUCAAUCCUGCAUGCUGAUUUGUAAUUACAGUAGAUUGGAGUAAGGAUUGGAUCCGGCACUAAAAGACUUCAAGAAGUGGCUUAUUUUAUUAAUUAAAUCAAAUUAAGAAAUAUUGUUUUUUUUUUAUUAAAAGCUACCUUUGUAAAACAUGGAAUUUAUUCCAUCUAUUUAAAUAAAAUCCGGUGUUUCUAAACUCUGAUAUUUUGCCUAACUCAUGGUCCUGAUGAAAUUUCCGCUGCAAUGUUUUUCAAAAUAAUCACCGGUACCACUGGACUGAUCGCGACUUCCGAUUCCGGCCAGGAUGGGAUCGGGGGUCGUGUCACGGAACAUCCAAUAUAUGUGAAGAGGAAGGACAUUAUGAAAAGAUCACAUCAUCAUUAAAGAAGUGGCCACGACUGCAAACAACAAAAGAAAUAGACAUAUUGAAUUGUGGCGUACGGAUUCAACAUGGGACUUACGGCGCGAAACAAAAGCAUGCACGUGAUUUUUUUAGGUGGACUUCUUGGACUCUCGAUAUUGGGCAGCCAUAAUUAAUAAUUGUGGGCUCUCAAAACAAAACAACAUCACCAUCCUUCAUCAUGAUUUAUUAGAGGCCACAUAACACACUAGGUGGGCUUUUAGUGAAUAAUUAACAUCAUCAUUGUUUUGGUCAAAAAUCAAGCUAAGAUAAUGCAACCAAAUCUUUUGAUGUGAGGUGUGAUGCUUGAAUCAAUGAACAAUAUUA